rnacentral:rRNA from 1 species
AUUGAACGCUGGCGGCAGGCUUAACACAUGCAAGUCGAGCGGGGAAAGGUAGCUUGCUACCUGACCUAGCGGCGGACGGGUGAGUAAUGCUUAGGAAUCUGCCUAUUAGUGGGGGACAACAUUCCGAAAGGAAUGCUAAUACCGCAUACGCCCUACGGGGGAAAGCAGGGGAUCUUCGGACCUUGCGCUAAUAGAUGAGCCUAAGUCAGAUUAGCUAGUUGGUGGGGUAAAGGCCUACCAAGGGGACGAUCUGUAGCGGGUCUGAGAGGAUGAUCCGCCACACUGGGACUGAGACACGGCCCAGACUCCUACGGGAGGCAGCAGUGGGGAAUAUUGGACAAUGGGCGAAAGCCUGAUCCAGCCAUGCCGCGUGUGUGAAGAAGGCCUUUUGGUUGUAAAGCACUUUAAGCGAGGAGGAGGCUACUUGGAUUAAUACUCUAGGAUAGUGGACGUUACUCGCAGAAUAAGCACCGGCUAACUCUGUGCCAGCAGCCGCCGUAAGAC